rnacentral:rRNA from 1 species
AGCGAACGCUGGCGGCAGGCCUAACACAUGCAAGUCGAACGAACCUUUCGGGGUUAGUGGCGGACGGGUGAGUAACACGUGGGAACGUGCCUUUAGGUUCGGAAUAACUCUGGGAAACUUGUGCUAAUACCGAAUGUGCCCUUCGGGGGAAAGAUUAAUCGCCUUUAGAGCGGCCCGCGUCUGAUUAGCUAGUUGGUUGAGGUAAUGGCUCACCAAGGCGACGAUCAGUAGCUGGUCUGAGAGGAUGAUCAGCCACAUUGGGACUGAGACACGGCCCAAACUCCUACGGGAGGCAGCAGUGGGGAAUCUUGCGCAAUGGGCGAAAGCCUGACGCAGCCAUGCCGCGUGAAUGAUGAAGGUCUUAGGAUUGUAAAAUUCUUUCACCGGGGACGAUAAUGACGGUACCCGGAGAAGAAGCCCCGGCUAACUUCGUG